rnacentral:piRNA from 1 species
UGCCAUGCUCCUGCCUUGAUGAUAAUGGAC